rnacentral:rRNA from 1 species
UGCAGCUCGAGUGCGCGCAUGUAACAGUACAGGUGGCGCACGGCGCACGGGGUGCGUAACACGUGGGAUAAUCUGCCCUCUGAUGGGGAAUAAGUCGCCGAAAGGCGAGCUAAUUCCGCAUAAUAUUCCGAAAAGUUCGCUUUUUGGACUGAAAGGCGUAAGUCGUCGGAGGAGGAGCCCGCGCACGAUUAGCUAGUUGGUAGGGUAAUGGCCUACCAAGGCUUUGAUCGUUAGCUGGUCUGAGAGGAUGGCCAGCCACACUGGAACUGAGACACGGUCCAGACUCCUACGGGAGGCAGCAGUGGGGAAUCUUGCACAAUGGGCGAAAGCCUGAUGCAGCGACGCCGCGUGGGGGAUGAAGCUUCUCGGAGUGUAAACCCCUUUCGAUCCGGACGAAUGCCUCGCAAGAGGAGUGACGGUACGGAUAUAAGAAGCCCCGGCUAACUACGUGCCAGCAGCCGCGGUAAUACGUAGGGGGCCAGCGUUGUUCGGAAUUACUGGGUGUAAAGGGUUCGUAGGCGGUGUGGCAAGUUGGGAGUGAAAUCUCUGGGCUCAACCCAUAGACGGCUUCCAAAACUGCCGUGCUUGAGUGUGAGAGAGGCUCGUGGAAUUGCAGGUGUAUCGGUGAAAUGCGUAGAUAUCUGCAGGAACACCCGUGGCGAACGCGGCGAGCUGGAUCACUACUGACGCUGAUGAACGGAAGCUAGGGGAGCAAACCGGAUUAGAUACCCCUGG